rnacentral:lncRNA from 1 species
CACUAAUUAUUUCCCAAACCUUCAAGCUUCGAUUAUUUGUUUCUCCACCAAAAUUCAACCACCCUUUUGAAUAAAUCUCAUUUAUCCCUACAGGGUCUCUUAUAAUGGACCUAUCAAAAAAAGGUGUUAGAUGUUGAGGUAAUGACAAAGAGGGUGUGUUUUUUUCAAGGUUGGAACAAAAGUAAGACCAUGCUUUCAUAAACAAGGUUGAAGAUUUUCCAUCAACAGCUGCAUGGUGUGUGGUUAUACCAAUACAAAAUCCAUGGUUAGGAAAAAAAGUGACUUGUAGUGAAAUAAUUGAUGCUUUUUCAUUUGAAAUCUCCAAACUUGGGAUUAAGUGUUGUUUUUUUUCAACUUCACAAAAAUUUGAACAUAAAAGGUUGAAAUUUUCAUUUGAUUCAGCUACAAUCAAUGGAAUGGAAUCACUAGGGACAUAGUUGAUGAUGGGAUGUGAUGAAUCUUGUGGCCAUGUGAUGUUACCAACAAGAAGGAAGAGAGUGUUUGAGAUUUGGAAGAAUGGAAUCAAAAAAAGAAGUGGUUGAUAAAUUUGGGUGUUCAUAAAAGAAGAGACGUUCAACUGGUGGGAGUCUUAGCCAUAGUGAGUCAAAGAAAGUGAAGGGAAAAGUAGUUGGGGAGGUUUCAUUUUGAGGUGCUAUUGAAAAAUUUUUAUGAACUUUGAGAGAUAUUGCCAUGAGAAAUUGAUGAGGAAAUGAGGCUUGGCAAUUUGUAGACUUAAUAAGCAUUUUAUGAUGAUGAUGAUGAUGAUACAUAGGCUAUGAAUAUGCUUUCAAUAUAUGACAAGGACAUAUCUAGGAAUCACACGUCACAUGGUUCGAAUUGGUGAGGAUUUGAAGUAUUUAUCUAAGGGGAACUUCUACGGUACACUGUAAAUUAAGGUGUACUGGUAUUUUUAUUUCAUAAAUUUAUAAAUUAAUGAUCAAUUUUAUGAAAUAAAUAGUUAUUUAUCGGUAUUUAUAUUUUAGAAAAUACUAUUUCAUAUGUCAUUCAUUGUUUAUAAGAAUCAUAGUAUUUUUUUUAGAUAUUAUCGUAUAAAAUAAUCAAAGUUCUCUAUUAUAAGCGAUAAAAAUUCAAAAAAAUCAAUUUUAUUUCGUUUACGCUUGUGAUGAAUAAGAUUUAAUCAUUAUAAUUAUAAAUAAAAAAUAAUAAUAUUUUUCUUCAUAAAAUAACUCAUUUACCAAUAAAAUUAAAGGUUUGGUGUACCGAUACACUCAAAUAUGUUGGGUGUACCGUAGAAUUUGUCUAUGUAAGCUCCUUUUCACCUUAUUGUUUUGUUUUUUACUUUAGGAAAUUUUUGAUGUAGGAUGUCGGCAAAGAUGUUGAACAUAUUGGUUUCAAGUCAUACGUGUCGAAAAGGCAAGUUUGCAAAUAAAGGGUGACCAUUCUUUGGAUGAUCUCCGUGCUUUUUUUUUUUAUUUGUGUUUGAACUUCGAAACUUGCAUAUAUAAUGCAUUGUCUAUACCAACUAAAUUAAAUUCACGAACACCUCUUUGUGUUUAACGUUGAUAUAUAAAAUACUAACGAGUUUUUAAAAUUUUACCAUAUCAACUUUCUUAUAUUGUAUUUAAAAAUUUACUUAUGUAAUUUUAAAUUUUUAAAAUCUACAACAAGCGUGGGCCAAAUAUUUAACGUGUUUUGUAUAUAAAAUAAAAAAUAUUUAAUAAAAAAAUACAUUAAUGUCGAUAUUUUGAAAAUAGUCACGAGUUUUCAAAAUAUUAUCAUAUCGACUUUCUCGUAUAGUACAUAAAAGUUUACUUCUAUACAUUUGUCAAUUUUUUUUACUUCUAUAUCUAUAAGUAAAUAAAAUCUGCAACGGAAGCGAUGCAAAUAUUUAACAGAUUUUUGCAUACUAAAAAAAAAUAUUUAAUUAAUAAACCUCUUAAAACAUAUUUAACAUAAACAUUACAUUAAUGCCGAUAAUUUUCAUCUAAUACAUUUAUACAUUUUACAAUAUUUACAAUGUAAUUAUUUUUUAUAUAAUUACCACAAUAUUACGCGAUCUAUCUGAAUACACAUAUUUUUACUAAUGAUGCUUAAAGAGCCACCAUCGAUCUAAAAUGGUACACAAAAAUGAAUAUGAAUAUGUACCUUGACUGACCUCGACAUAAAUGUUACAAUAAUGACGUGGCUAUGCAUUGUUGCAUCUAGAAGUAAAACACCAGUACACCACCUUAAUUUGGUGAAAUUAUUCUACCGACACAAUCAUAAAUAAUAAAUAUUUACAUUCACAUCAAAUACAAAAAUUAAUAAAAAAUAAAACUAAAUAACAUUGAUUGAUGUGGUUUAUUUAUUUUUAUUUUAAUUUUUUCUAUUUGAUGUAAAUGUGUUCAAAUAUUUAUCAUUUUUGAUUGUGUUUACAUAAGAGUUUCUUAAUCAAUCCUAAACAAAAAUAUUCAUAGAAAAGAAUACGUGGACUGCAUAAUGCAUUAUUUCAAUUACUUGCUUAUCACAUCACAAUCACAUACUAUAUUAUUCCUUAAAAAAAUCACAUACUAUAUUACUGGCAUCUUGACAUUAUGCUAAGAAAAUAUAUAAGACGACAAAAAAACUAUGACUACAACAUGUUUGAAAGUUUACACUGUGGAGAGAUUCAAGGAGACAAACAUUGAAGGCGCCUUGAGUUUGAGAUAAAACAAGUAUAUGAAGCUAAAACAUCCAGAUUUGAGGAGGCAAAGCUUACCAUUCAUUAAUUCAUUUCAAUCUAACAAAUAUCCUUAAAAAAAAAUUGUGAAUAUUUUUCUUUUUUCUCUUUUACAAUUUGUUUUUUCUCCAGAUUUAUUUAAUAACUGAUGUAUUUAGUUUAUAUUGUAAACCAAAAACAUUAAUUAUAUAAUAAAUCUUUAAACAAAUUGUUUAUGUCUGAGACCAAAUUCAUAAUAAAAUACUCUCUCCGUUUCAAAUUGUAUAACGUUUUGGACAUUUCACACAUAUUAAGAAAUGUAAUUAAUAUUGUGUGAGAAAGAGAUAUUAUGAGUUGUUUUACAAAAUUGUCCUUAAUAAAUUAUAUGAGAAAGAUAAAUGAAUGAAUUGAAAGAAAAGAGAGUAAUAAAUAGUUAAAGACAUAAUAGAAAAAGUAACAUUAAUAUUUUAUUAGUAUUGUAAAGCGACAUAUAAUUUGCGACAAUUUUUUUUCUUUCUAAAAUGACUUACAAUUUGGGACGGAGGGAGUACAUAUUAACAUAAGUAUUUUAAUUUGACAAAAAAAAAAUGUAUUUUAAGAAUUUAUCUUGUCCUACUUGGGGUGAUGAGCUAGAAGACAUUGAGCGAGUUUAAAGCAAAAGGUCCUCAACAAUUUCAAUUUCCAAACUUAUAAAAACAAUUCAAAAUAUAAAUCCAAGAUGUGAAUCGUCUGAUCUAAAUCGAGAGAUUAAAAUCUACAACAGUACGAUUGUGUUUUUUUAAAAGGCAAAGUAAUAUAUGAUAGACAAUCCAUUUUCUUGAUACAAUUACAAUGAUUCAAGUCCUUGAACAAAAAGUUGAGCAAAAACCUCCAUUUGUUGUUUGUUCAAAGCCAAACCAAUCUCAAUUCCACCAUCAUUAUUCCUAUUCUCCGAAAGAGAAAAAGCUCCUGUUUUAUCAAUAGAAGUAACAUCAACUUUCUUAGGUUUACCCCAUCCAAAAUCAAAACUAUAAACAUCAAACCUAGGUGACCCGGCAAUAGAAAACAUCCUAUCUGUCUCACUCAUUGUAGAUUGCAUUAUUGACAUCCAAUUCUCCAAACCCUUCAACACACCAUUUUCCAAACCCUUCAACACAUCACUUAUCCCUUCAAGAGCACUAAUAAAUCCAUCAUCUUUUAAAAAUUCCUCGGUUUCACCCAAAACUAAUUUUGACACAACACAAUUUCCAAAAUAAUUUGCAUUAAUUGGUGGAUCCAAACGUGGCCUACAAUCCACACUAAAAAUAAAAGGUACCUUGUUGGAUUUUGGUUGGUCAACUUUUAUCGUACAUGCCAACAAAUAAGCACAAGUAACUGAAAAAGUUGAAAGCUUAAUAACCUUGUUAUUUUUUUCAAUCUUGGAUUGUGCAUGUUUCUUAAGCUUUUGAAUAUCCAAAGGUGACAAUUGAAAAAUACCUUUGGUUGCUUCACCCUUUAUUGUAUUAAUUGUUUCCCAAACCUUCAAGCUUCGAUUAUUUGUUUCUCCACCAAAAUUCAACCACCCUUUUGAAUAAAUCUCAUUUAUCCCUAUAGGGUCUCUUAUAAUGGACCUAUCAAAAAAAGGUGUUAGAUAUUGAGGUAAUGACAAAGAGGGUGUGUUUUUUUCAAGGUUGGAACAAAAAUAAGACCAAGCUUUCAUAAACAAAGUUGAAGAUUUUCCAUCAACAGCUGCAUGGUGUGUGGUUAUACCAAUACAAAAUCCAUGGUUAGGAAAAAAAGUGACUUGUAGUGAAAUAAUUGAUGCUUUUUCAUGUGAAAUUUCCAAACUUGGGAUCAAGUGUUGUUUUUUUUCAACUUCACAAAGAUUUGAACAUAAAAGGUUGAAAUUUUCAUUUGAUUCAGCUACAAUCAAUAGAAUGGAAUCACUAGGGACAUAGUUGAUGAUAGGGUGUGGUGAAUCUUGUGGCCAUGUGAUGUUACCAACAAGAAGGAGGAAGUGGUUGAGUGUGAGCUCAAGGGAAUGUUUGAGAUUUGGAAGAAUGGAAUCAAAGAAAAAAUUGGUAGAUAAAUUGGUGUGUUCAUAGAAGAACAAACGUUCAACCGGUGGAAAUCUUACCCAAAGUGUGUCAAAGAAAGUGAAGGGAAAAGUAGUUGGGGAGGUUUCAUUUUUUGGUGAUAUUGAAAAAACUUGAUGAACUUUGUGAGAUUGUGCCAUAAGGGAGGGAAGAAAUUGAUGAGGAAGUGAGGCUUGGCAAUUUGUUGACUUUAUAAACAGUUUAUGAUGAUGACGAUGAUGAUACAUAGGCUAUGAAUGUGCUCUCAAUAUAAUAAUAAUAAUAAUAAUAUAAUAAUACAUUCUUUAUAAAUCAAUUCCUUAAGGUAUCCAAUUUAUUUGCAUACAAAUAGUGCAUACAAACAAUUUCAACACUAAUAGUGCAUACAAAUCAAUUCCUUAAGGUAUCCAAUUUAUUUGGAGGAAAGAUGUCCCGUUUAAGAUAUCGGUAUUUGCUUGACGACUUUUUCGUAAUAGAUUGUCUACGAAUGAUAAUUUAUUUUAAAGGAGGAUUAUAUAGGAAUAUGCUCAGUUGUGUGCUUCUGGAUGUGGGAUGUUUGAAUCGGCGGAUCACCUAUUUUUGCAUUGCGAUGUGUUUGGUCAGGUUUGACAACUUGUUCGUCAUUGGUUAGGUGUUUCUUCAAUAAACCCAUUAACCACCUCGGAUCAUUAUCUUCAGUUUUGUAUUUCUUCUGGUUUUGCUAAUUCCAGAUGCUCUUUUAUGCAUUUAGUAUGGUUUGCAAGCAUUUGGGCAAUUUAGAAGGAAAAGAAUGCAAGAAUAUUUUGUGUAAAAGAAUCAUAAGUUCAAAUCUAGGUCACCACAUUUCACCUCGCUUAUGUGUGUGUUUAUUUGAAUAUUUGUUGGUGACUAAGCUAAUAAAAAAAAUACGCAGUAAGAUUCAAUAACAUGAUUUUUUAGUUUGUACAAAAAAAACAUAAUUUUUUAGUUUCCUCCUUGUUUUUUAGGACGAAGGAGGGUGCAAGAUAAUUAAAGUGGCUUCUUAUAAUUUUUUAUUUUAUAACAAUGAUAGUUUUAUUAAAUGCUAAAACUGUUUAAACAUUCAAUAUAUUAAGUUUUUUUUUUUGUUACGGUCAAUGCUUUUCUUAGUGUCAAUAUUAAAGAUAUAAAAAAAAAAAAAUUAAAAAACCGUUUAUGGGAUUUUAUUCUUCAUUAUUGAAGGCUGGAUCUAACCUAAGGAUCCAUCUAGACUUCAUAACGUGCAAAUCAAUAUUAGUUAAUGAUCUAGUCACGAUGAUUAUUUAUACUCAGUGUCUUACAUACUUCAAAUAUACUUAACUUUACUAGAGGAAACCUAAAACUUAUUUUCUCUGAUCACAUUUAUAGUAGAUAUUCGUCCGUUAUUUAAUUAAUCUAGAAAAUGAAUAGUUGUUUAUAAUUUUUGUUUUGGUAGUGUAUAGUUGUUUAUUAUUUUUUUUGACAAAAAUAAAAUGAUAUUCAUUCAUUCAAAUCGAGAGAUUACAUCAUUCAACACCGCUAAAAACGUAAAGGAUGAAUCUGCGAACAAACUUACAUCAUCUAAGUUAAUAGCAUAUAACAACAUAAUGCCUACAAAAAUAUAUGAUAAAAUUAAAGUGAUCGGAAUAUCCAUGACCUCCGAAUCUGCAACGUUGAUGCCCAAAUCUUUGAUUGAAUAAUCGAUCUUUCAAUAUGAAUCAAAUGAACACCUCACGAAGACGGGAAAUCAAACAACACCGCACAAGACGACGAACAACAAACCACCACACUUAGAUGAUGAAAUCACAAAGGAAAAACAAAAAAACCUAGAUCUAUAUAUGUGAAAAUCACUUAUUUAGAUUGAAAUAGAGAGAAAAGAUGAAGAUGAGUGAUUUCAGGUCAAGAAUUGACCCAAAACCACCCCUCAAUGGAGAAACUGUAAGAGAAAACCUAAAGAGAUAAAACUAGAUUUGCCUUAUUAGUGUAUAGUUGUUUAUAAAUGUAACAAGAAUUUUAUAUUUUUAAUGUCAUAUAGUUUUUUUGUUAUAUCACUAACAACAUAGCCUUAAUAUUUAAUACUACUAAUUUUAUUUUUUUUGAAAGAAUUUAAUACUACUAUUUUGAAAACUCGUAUAACAUGCAUUCAAUGAAGGGCGUAAGCCCUCUUUUACCACAAAAAAAAAAACUCGUAAUGGAUGUUGCUAUCAACGUAGUCGUGAGUCUAUGAGAAACGAAUCUUAAUUGUUGAGUUAGGUCAAUACAUUUGUCUCACCAACUCCGUCAUAUGCAUCCAAGCAGGCAGGCAGCUGUAUAUCAUUUGGAUUUGGAAGCUUCUUUUCUACUUUUGAAAAUCAUUUCUAAAAUAUACUAAAAAAUUUAAAAAUUUAUGUCAUUCUAAGACAAAAAUACUUUUUUAUUUAUUUCCAAAAUACAUUUUUUUAUGUGAAAAAAUAUAUUUUCAUAUUUGUGGUAGGAGAGAGAAGCUCUCAUUUCAUUUAACAUAUUUUAAAAGAGAUAUUUGAGUCAAAAAAAAUUAAUGUAUCUGAUCAAAAUAAAACCAAAUACAUCUAUCCGUUGAUUUAAAUGUUUUUUAUAUCUAUAAUUGGGAUUGUAUGAACUUAGUUUUUCAUUUUGUAUGGCAAGCAUAUGAGUUAUGUCCACACUUUUAUUAUCGCAAAAUUAAAUGACGUGGUAGUUAACAAUUGUUUCAAUGUUGUUUUUCAUUUGAAUUAAACAUUCAAGACAUUGUUUAGUUUUAUCUUCUUUCUAAUGUACUUUUAGUUGCUUCAUCAUGUAUAAUAUUAUAUAUGUUAGACAAAUCUCUCUAUUUGCUAAAAAAAAAGAGACAAAUCUCUCUAUCUCCAUGUAUAUUCCAUACUUAAAGCUUAUCUCUAUGUAUAUUCUAUACUUAAUGCUUAUUUUUGUCUAAACUUAAUCUUAGCUUGGCUCAGAUGGCUCAUAUAUGUCAAUGUAUUUUGAUAGUUGCGGCUGUGUUGAAUUGUAAAUUUAAAACAUUUUAAUAUAUGGGGUUUAAGUUGAUUUUAAUUAAUUAUGUGUUGAUGGUACGUGAGUCGACUUCGUGUUAACGAUCGAUUCAUUUGCUAAAUGUUAGAUCCGAGCUUGAUUGUUAGAAUUGUUUAAGAUUGGAUCUACUUUAUGGAUAUUUUAGGGUUGUUGACCGAGUCAGGUUUUAUGUCCCUCCAAUUUUUAUGUAUUUUUUAAUAAUAUAUAUGAAUAAUUGACACUGAUUAGAGUAACAUACCAACUUAGUUGGACACUAUUCCUUUUUAUGUCAUUUUACUCUUAGCUUAUAAAAAAUUUAAUCAUGUGUUUUUUUUAUAAAAUAUUUUCUUUCAAAAACAAAAAUCUUAAGAAAAAAAGUGAUGUUAACAAAGAAAAAGGGGUUAAAAUCCUCUCCAUUCACUAUUUAUUUUUUGUUCAUUGAGGUGACAAAACAAAAGACCAGCACUAGGAGUAUCAAUAUAGCAAUGCAAGGGGGAGUUGGAAGUAAAGAAAUUGUCACGUUUUCCAACUAAUAGCAUGUUUGGAUUUAUGUUGCAGUGCCUUUUUCGAGUCUCAUUGCGUUCUAGACGUGAUAAUAAAGAAGCUUUAAUUUGUAGAGUUUGGAAAAACGUACGUUUGGUGGUAUCCCACUGUGGAAACAAACACAAGUUAAAGGAGGAACAACGGCAAACACUUUGUGAAACAAUUGAGCUUAAGACGUUUUGGUGAUUGAAAUCAAAAUAUAUUACAUUCGAUUUUGAUUACUAUUUUUUGAAGGAUUAAUCAUAUUCAUUGUUUGUCUUUUUUUUUAAGAGCAAUGAUACAUGGACAUUCCCAUGUGGCAUACCACCAUCUACACCCUUCCAUGUGGCAUUUUUUUAUUAGUUAUAAUGGGCAAUUUUGUCUUUAAAAAUAAAAUGAGGGGCAAUUUUGUCCAAUACACUCACAACAACUUUCUCACCCUCUCUUUUCUGUCUUUCUUCUCCUUUACCGGCCACCACCACCAACUCCCACCGGCCACCGUUGUCCUCCGUCCUCAACCUCAAAUAUCACAUCUACCACCACCAUCGCCACCGUCCAAAAGCUAGAUCUCACAACCGUCGCCCUCGUCUCGAAGCUCAGAUCUCACCACCACUGCAGCCACCACAACCACCGUCAUUUUCAGAUCUAAACACACCCAUCGAUCGUCAUCAUUAACCUCUCAUCUCGACGCCUCCACCACCACCGUCCUCGCACUCUUUCUCCAAAACACAACAACAACAAUUUUAAACAAACCCAAAACAAGAGACGGCGAUGGCGUCGGAAUUUGAGGAAACAAGUGGCAGAGAGAAAGAGGUGAGGGAGAAGAGAGAAAUAGAGACAACCAUUUGAGGAGAAGGAGAGAAAAAAAUCAGAAUAGAGAGAUAUGAGGAGAAAGAGGAGAUCGGCAGGAAGAGAGAAGGAGAAAAUAAAAUUAGGGAGAGAGAAAGAUGAGAUAAGAUUUCAGGGGAGAGAGUGACAAAAAAUUUAAAAUUAAAAUGCCAUGUAGGAGGUGUACAAUGUGGUAGAGAAAAAAGGAGGUCUAUGAUGUAUCCUUUUUCUUUUUUUAAAGUUGUUCCUCUCUUUUUUUGCUUAUCCUUUAUUGAAUUUGUGAUGUAACAUUGUAACUCUUGUAAGUUUUUCCGAUAAACCUUGAGUUGGAAGGAGAAAUAAUACAAAGGUAAGGGACAUAGACCAAACCCACAAUGAACAUAAGGAAAUUUAUGAUUAUGCAAAGUUGAAUAUAUUCAUAAAGAAAUCCACCUACAAAAGCUUUGUCAUCGCAUUCCACCAACUAAAAUCAGAAAUGAUCAUACAAAUGAAACUAACCAAAAUAUGAAAAUUCUAUUAAUGAUGAUAUAAGUAUCUACCGAGUUCCCUUAAAAAAAAUAGUCUAUACCGAGUCCAAAACAACUAAAAUACUCGUAUGAGUUUAUACAAAUAAGUACUCCGUCCUAAAUUAUAAGUAAAAAAAACCUAUUUUCUUUGUCCCAAAUUAUAAAUAAAAAAGACUAACUUUUAUCAUAUUCAAAUAUGUUUUUUUAAAAAAUUAUCUUUUUCAAAGGAAAAUUAAAUGCAAAAUGCAUUCAAUUUGCUCUCAUUUUCAUUUUCUCUAUAAUCAACUACCAAUGAAAAUUAUUUUUACAUCUUCCUAUAAAACUUAUUUCAAAGAUAACACAAAAAACUAUGUUACAAACUACUACCUAUAUUUUAAUUUUUUUAAUAAAUGUGAUUUAUGUUUUUUUGCUUAUAAUAUAAAACGGAGGGAGUAUAUUCAUUAAUUUAACCAAGAAUGGUGUACUGUACCCAACAUAUUUAAAGUGUAUCAGUUCAGUUCAUCAAGAAUGAUUAAACACAUAUUUUAUCAUUAUUUAUGAAUCAUAUGCAUGAUUCGAUUAAUUAAUUGAGACUAAAUUAGAUAUUUAGUUUCAUAAUUGAUUUUAUAGUUUUAUUUGGUCUCAUAACUACAACUACUUGCGCAUUGGUCCCUAAAAUAGAUUUUCGUUAGUGGUCUCAUUAUGUCAAUUUAAACCUCAAAUGUUUAAGGUGGAUCAACAUUGUAGGUACUACAAUAGAUCUCAUUAUAUAUAUAAUUUUAACCAUUAUAUUUUUUUAUAAAAAAUGGGGAUCAUUGGAUAUCAUGUAGAUCUAUUAUAUCUUAUCGUAAACUAUAACACCCUACUUCUAUUAAAGCAAUUAAACAUGCGAAUAAUACAUUUAUUCAAGAAAUAGAGGCUACGCCACAUUCAAAAUUCAAAAAACCAAUAAACAUGUAUAUAAACCUCAACAGUCGCAGCGGAAUAUUAACCAGAGUAAAUCCAAGUAUACAUGUUAUGAAUCAAUAAAUUACAUCAACAUCGAUGCAUCUCAAAAAUCCCAACAAACGGGUAAUCUCCAAUCAUAACAAAAUCCAAAAUAUAAGAUAAUCUAGACCGACACAACGAAGCCUAGAUCAGAGCCGACUAAACAUCUAAACACCGAUAUCGGAGAAAGCUCGCGAUAUCCACCAAGCACAAUACUCACCAAGCAUCCUACACUUGCACAACGUCUACCCAUCCAUACAGAUAGGCAGGCGGUCCAUAACAGAUCCACUGGGGGUAAGUAUUACAUUAUCAUAAUACAAAUAACAAAUAACAUAAAUAUUUCAAUUUAAACAUCAUGCAAUUGAUCAAUAAUAAUAACACAUUAAUACUUACAUCACACCCCGAUAUCUCACAUCAAUAUUCAUCAAUCAUAUGAACAAUUAUCAAUUUACAAAUAUUCAUUCACAAUCACCAAUCACAUUUAUCAUGAAUAAUCAUUAAUCACAUUUCAUGAACAAUCACCAAUUACAUGUAUCAUGAAUAAAUAUCAAUUAACAGUUAUUCAUACACAAUCACCAAUCAUAUACAUCAUGAACAAUCACCAAUCAUAAGCCAUGAACAUUCACCAAUUACAUUUCAUGAACAAACAUCAUUCACAUGUAUCACGUACAAUCAUCAACACAAGUAUCAAGGGCAAUCAUCAAUCACAUACAUCAUUUAAGACUCAUGUCAUGAUAUGCACUUAUUGACACAUAAAUGCAUGUGGUACCAAAUCUCAACAAGGUCGUCACCUUUCGAUGCCACUUGCACAUCGUAUGUAAGGCUCACACCUGCCUUACAAUAAUCUCGAAGUAAAAGAGCUCAACCCUUUUACAACAACAUCGACUAUGAUGCAUGGACAUGUAUAAGGACUCGAUAAUGCGACAACAAUUAACAAUCUCAACCUCAAUAUAUAGGACAACACCCAAUUAUAUUGAUUAUCUCCACAACAUUGCAUUAUCAAGAAAACAUGCCCACACAAAUAAAUCAUAGCAUUCACCAUCACACCUCAACAUGAUUAUCAAUAAUCAACAAUGUCAUCCAACAUCAACUAUCACAUAUAGUUUCACCAUUUCAAACAAUUCUCAUAUUCCAAGUAAGAGAACAUACAACAUCUCAUGACAAAUAUCAUAUCCAACAUAUAAUCAUUCAACAUCAACUAUCACAUAUAGUUUCACCAUUCAAGCAUUCCUUACAUUCUAAGUAAGAUAGCAUACACAUCUCAUGAUAAACAUCAUAUCCAAUACAAUCAUUCAUUCAAACAUCUUCACUUAGUCAUAUAAGGAUAGUCACGAUAGAUUAUAAGAAAAUUGGUUCAAAGGAAACAUUUCCGACAAAAACCGUAUCAAGUGGCAAAAGGCCAACAUUGAUAAUUCCCAAGACAAAGCAACUUAGACAAAUUGAAAGCUCUCAAAAAAUCUUAAUCAAUAAUGUAGUCAUGAGCUUAAGCCACUUACAAACUAUUAGACAUCAGUUCAAAGAAUAACUUAAGUUCGUAUGAGAAAACCCAAUUUCACAAUCUUUCACAUUCCCAUCCGAAAUAUCAUUUUUGACAUGAUUAAGAUGUUUGACCAACCAUACAAGUCUUACCUAAGUCUAUAAGAGAUGUAGGUUUAACUUGUAAUCCUAUUUAGUUCACAAAAGUUCAUUUUGACAAAAUCCGACAUUUCCUAAAAUUCCAAGUUCCAUAUCAUUUCUUCCAUAUUUCAAAACCAAUUCAUUUUCAAAACAAAAACCAAGUUAGGAUCAAGCUAUGAUACUCUUAGAAGCUUAAUUAUAAAUUGAUUGAAUAAGGUUAAGAGUUUGGAAUCCAUUGGCAUGCUUAAAAGUACACAAAAACACGAAAAAACGAGGUUUCGGAAUUCUGCAGAACUGACACGGUCGUGCCAUCAGGAAGCACGGUCGUGCUCCCUUUACAGGAGAAACUGACACGGUCGUGUCAUCUAGACGCACGGUCGUGUCACCUCACCAGUACAGCAAAAUGCAUUUUUACGUUUUUGCGCAUAAAAUCUUGUUUUCGAAUCCGAUUUCAAUUCCGUUUUCGCCAAUGAAUUCCUAACACUUAGACCAUACAAACCACACUUGAAAACUUGACAUUUAAACAUUAAAACAACUUAAUCAACUCAUCCCAAAAUGACUUAUUUUGCAAAAGCACUUAAAAACCACUUUUACUCAAAAACCCGUUUUCUUCCCAAAACGAUUUCUCUCCAAAACCAAGUGAUUAAAACAGAAAAUCAUACCAUCAUAAUUCAUUAUAACAACUUCCUUAUCUCAUUCAACAUCAUCAAAAUCAAACUUCUUCUUUAUCAACCCAUUUUACAAAACCACCAACAACAACUCAUUUUCUCAACAACAAUCAUGAUAUAUGAACACCCAAGCCAAAAUUCAUGAUCAACAACAUAUCUCAGCAACAACAACAUCAAUUGAAACUUGAUUCACACACCAAUUCAACAACAACAUGUCAUAAGUCAUCAAUUAAGCAUAAUUUCACAACAACCCAUUUUCAUACAUUAUGAACAUAUUAUUUCAUCAUCAACCAUUCAUUUAACAUCAAAUAACAUAUCCAAACAUAUCUCUACAACAUAAGCACGAAUUUCAAAGAUUGGGUUCAUGAUAAUCACUUAUUCUCAUAAUCAAUUAUGCAUAAAAUCAAGAGAAAAAGAAUUAAACAAAUGAUUAUGAUAAAGACUAACCCCCUUACCUUUGAAGAUGAUUAUUCCUAAACUCUUGCUUCAAUUCAGCUCCUAAUCUUACCCCAAUUAUUCCUCAAGCUAUUCUCUUCAAAACCCUUGUUCUUCUCAUCACCUCUUUCUCUCUCUAGGAAAAUUUUAGUGAAGUGAACGAAAGAUAUUUUCUAUGACAACCCUAAUGUUAUCUCCCUUAAUGGGCUUAACUCAAAAUGCUAAUGGGCCUAACCCAUUCUAACAUAAUUCUAAAAAGUUUCUAUACACCCCACGGUAAUUACUAACAACGGUAAAACAUAACCAACUGUCACUAACGGUAAAAACUAAUCACAACACUAGUAACUUAGUAAAAUAAGGGUUCUCACUUAAUAUGAAAAUAAUUCUCACCCAAAUUACCAUUUUACCCUUACCCGUCAAAUGACCAAAAUACCCUCCUAAUACGGAAAUCCAUGUAAAUGCACCCACUGACAAUUAAUUACACACAAGCACCAAUAAUCACACACAAACACAUAAUAAAAGUAAUUAAAAUAAAUCUAGCUAAAAAUCGGGCUGUUACAUAAACCACCAACAAUUAAUUUUUUAUUUUUGUUUUAAAAAAAUAAUAAUUUACUUUUCUUCAUCUUCUUCCUCCAUCUUCUUCUUCCUCAUCUUCUUACACAUUCAAACCUAUAAAAUAAAGCUGAAUUUUUUUUUUAUAAACUUGAUCUUCAUCUCUUCUUCUCUCAAAAGUUUAAAACUCAAUUCAUUUUUAUAAAAACUCAAAUUCAGGAGUUUCCCUCCUUCCAAAUACUUCAAAACAAACCAUUUAUUAAGAAAGUGAGAAAGAGAGAAAUGAUUCAUUAACUUGAAUAGAAGUUCAUGAAGGUAUUUUUAUACAUUUCUCAAAUGUACUAUAUAUCUAAGAUGAAGUGUACUACAUAAAAUAACCUAAUUGUACAACACUAGCUUUGUGACUUGUACUGCAAGCUAUCUUCAUUCUCAUGCUUUUUAUCCUUUGAAUCUAAUAGCAUUCGAAUUAGAUGCAAACAAGACUGAGUAUUUUCGGAGAAUAAAGCAAAGCCACCAGACUAAAUAGAAUGAUCAACAACAAAAUUAGAACUAAAUCCUAAAUUUUAUCAGAAAAUUCACAUUCAAAAAACAAAUGAUUAACAGUUUCAUCUUUUCAAAAAAACAAUUUCAUCUUUCUCACAUCCUAUAGUAAUAACAAGAGAUUCAGAACGAAGAAUCUCACGACGAACUAAAUUGGCCUUUGUAGAAAUCCUAUUAUUGAGAAGCCACCAAUCAAACAAGGACAAUUUCAACAAAGUUGUUUUAUUCCAACUAACAUUCAAGAGAGCUGAAGAUGUUGGAUAAAUUAUUUAAUUAAUCAAUUAUAAAUUGAUUCUAACAAAUUUUCAGAAAUUAUUUUUAAUACUACUAUAAAUUAUGGUACAUUAAUGUUUUAAGAAUUAAGUAAUUGAUGAAUAUGUGUGUUAGACUCUUUUUCUGAAUGGACAUGAUGGAUCAAACCAUACAAUUAAGCUCAAUUCGAGGUUCGUGUCCUCGAUCGUUUAACUAAUUCAAAGUCAUCCUAUCAAACGGUUAAACAUAAAACAAUAAUGUAAUAUGUGUAUGCAUUCAUGAUCUAUCUUUGAUAAUGUAAAAUAUAUGUUGUAAUUUGUAUUUUGAUAUGGCUAACUCUGUUAAAUUCAACAAUGGUAUCGGAGAAAAAAUAUAUAUUUUAUGGGUAUUUGUUUUUGAAUCGUCUGAACGGAAUAUGUUUUCCCCGUAUACUUAUUUUCAAUUGUUUGCAUGGGGCUAUUGUAUUGUUUGUUAAACCCUAUGAAGAAAAUUGUUAGAAGGGCUAUGAUGUACUACUGUCGUACUGAGAGAUGUCAAUGAAUGACUAAUGGUUAGAAGGGUUUACGAAAUUCCUUGGAGUCACUGCUGAUUAUUAUAUGGUUGAAUUAUGGGGAAUUUAUGAGCGUCUUUGCAUAGCAAGACUCUUUGGUAGUUGUUUAGAACACAAGGCAUGAGAAUAAUGAUAGUGUUAUGGAUAUAAAUCUUAUGAAGAAAAUCGUAGUGUGAGAAUCAAACUUUAAAUCUUGAGAAAGAGUACAUUUCAAAAAUCCAAGUCAAAACCAUCAGUGAGAAAGUCGAAUGAGUCAAACUAAGAGAUUUUGAUCACUCAUGUGUCUCAAAAAGCUAACAUGAGUUAUAAAAUUUUGAAUUUUUUUCACAGUCAUAUUUAGUUCAUUAUAAAAUUUUGAUUUUUUUUCACAGUCUUAUUUAGUUCAUUAUAAAAUUUUCUCUUACAAAAGUUUAAGUUUUUUAAAAAUGAAUGAAUUAAAUGUUAAUUUUUUACGUUUUGCUGCUUUAAAAUUCAUAUUUUGUUAAAAAAAAUCUUUUUUUUUUUCAAUCAAAAGAAAAUAUAAAAAAAAGAGGAAAUAGAAAAGCUAAGGGGGCAUAAACCUGACUCAACAAUCACAUAAUCAACCCAUAAAGCGUAUUACAACAGUGAUUAAACAAAAGUGGUAUAAAGAUACAAAUGCUUUGCGGUCAAAUACACAAGUACAAUUCGGCAAACCCAACGCGGGAUACGAAACCAAAUUUCAAAAGAAAGUGACGUAAAAAACAACAAGCAUAACCAUCAAACCAGACUAGAGACGAAUCUAAAUGAAAUUCAAACUCUUUUUUUUUUUUUUUUUUGUGGCGUAUGAACUGCCGCCAACACGGACAGAUUCACUGACCACCUACCGCUACAAAUAAAGACAGCAAGCAUCGCGGCCCUUUCGAGCACAACAAACUCUAAAAAAAAAUAUCUAUUUUGAGAGAAACCAUUCUUGUAAAAGAAAAACAUUGAGAGAAAAAGUAGAUGGAACAUGGCAUAACAUUCAUUAAUUCGAUCUAACAAAAUUGAUAUCUAAGAUGUGUGAGUGUUGUAAAUCCUUCAAAUUUACAAGGAUUCAAGUCCUUGAACAAAAAGUCGAGCAAAAUCUUCCAUUUGUUGCUUGUUCAAAGUCAAACCAAUCUCAAUUCCACCAUCAUUAUUCCUAUUUCCCGAAAGAUAAAAAGCUCCUGGUCUAUCAACCGAAGUAACAUCAACUUUCUUAGGCUUACCCCACCCAAAAUCAAAACUAUACACCUCAAACCUAGGUGACCCGGUAAUAGAAAAAAUCUUAUAAGUCUCAUCCGUUCUAGAUGUUUUAGAUUGCAUCAUUGACAUCCAAUUUUCCAAACCAUUUAACACACCAUUUUCCAAAUCAUUCAACACAUCAAUUAUCCCUUUAAGAGCACUAAUAAACCCACCAUCUUCCAACAAUGCCUCAGUUUCAUGCACAACUAAUCUUGACACAAUACAAUUCCCAAAAUAAUUUUCAUUAAUUGGUGGAUCCAAGCGUGACCUACAAUCAACAGCAAAAACCAAAAAUGCCUUAUUGGGUUUUUGUUGGUCAACUUUAACCCCUAAUGACAACAAAUAAGCACAUGUAACCGCAAAAGUUGAAACCUUUUUAUUUUCAACCUUAGAUUGUGCAUAUUUCUUAAGCUUUUGAAUAUCCAAAAGUGAUAAUUCAAACAAACCUUUGAUUGCUUCACCUUUUGUUGCACUUAUUGUUUGCCAAACCUUUAAGCUACGAUUAUUUGUUUCUCCACCAAAAUUCAUCCAUUUUUUUGAAUGAAUUUCAUUUAUUCCUAAAGGGUCUUUUAUAAUGGACCUAUCAAAAAAAGGUGUUAGAUUUUGAGGUAAAAACAAAGAGGGUGUGUUUUUUUCAAGGUUGGAACAAAAAUAAGACCAAGCUUUCAUAAACAAGGUUGAAGAUUUUCCAUCAACAGCUGCAUGGUGUGUGGUUAUACCAAUACAAAAUCCAUGGUUAGGAAAAAAAGUGACUUGUAGUGAAAUAAUUGAUGCUUUUUCAUGUGAAAUUUCCAAACUUGGGAUUAAGUUUUUUCUUUUUUCAACUUCACAAAGAUUGGAACAUAAAAUAUUGAAAUUUUCAUUUGACUCAGCUACAAUUAAGGGAAUGGAAUCACUAGGGACAUAGUUGAUGAUGGGAUGUGAUGAAUCUUG